GAUGAACGCUAGCGGCAGGCCUAACACAUGCAAGUCGAGGGGUAGAGGAAGCUUGCUUCCUUGAGACCGGCGCACGGGUGCGUAACGCGUAUGCAAUCUACCUUGUACAGAGGGAUAGCCCAGAGAAAUUUGGAUUAAUACCUUAUAGUAUUAUUGAAUGGCAUCAUUUAAUAAUUAAAGUUCCAACGGUACAAGAUGAGCAUGCGUCCUAUUAGCUAGUUGGUGUGGUAACGGCAUACCAAGGCUACGAUAGGUAGGGGUCCUGAGAGGGAGAUCCCCCACACUGGUACUGAGACACGGACCAGACUCCUACGGGAGGCAGCAGUGAGGAAUAUUGGACAAUGGGCGCAAGCCUGAUCCAGCCAUGCCGCGUGCGGGAAGACGCAUCUAUGGUGUGUAAACUGCUUUUGUACGGGAAGAAACACUCCCUCGUGAGGGAGCUUGACGGUACCGUAAGAAUAAGGAUCGGCUAACUCCGUGCCAGCCGCCGCCGUAAUAC
rnacentral:rRNA from 1 species